rnacentral:sRNA from 1 species
UAAUGUAAAUAGAAAAAAGAAGCCCCGCCAGAACAGGGCUUCCCGCGCAAGCCGCUUCAAAGGCGGUGGCAUUAACAUUAGACUAGAUA